CCUCUGCCUCAGGGAAAGGUGUGCCGGCUGCUCGGCUGCCCCGGUGUGCAGCUGGUUGCGUUUAGCUCAGCUUCAGCGGGCUGGGGCAGGGCCGGCUAACCCCCUCCUAGCCGCGCCUCCAGCCCCAGGUGACUUUGCAGGCUGCGGGGGACAAUGCAGGCUUCCCUCUCCUACUCUGCGCUUCCUGGUGAAGAUGUGCGACAGAUGUGUUCCCACCUGGGAAGAUCACUUUGAAGACCACUCUGCAUGGUCUUCUGGAGCAUCAUCAUUCAAGCCCUUUACCUAACUGGUGUUUUCUUAUCUAAUGUUUUAAGAACCACAUUCACACAGACUCUGCUGGUUUUGUGAUAGCCUCUAAGUUUGUUUUCCUGUAUAUGGCUACAAGAGAUAAAAAAUAAAUUCCUGCUACCAUUACCUUACACAGGUAAUACAGGAUUUGCCAGUAAAUUCCCUCGGCAGGAUGGUUACCAGAACAUGCAUGCUUUCUUAUUUUUCUUUUUGAUGCUCAAAAUGUCAUUGAAAUUUUGGAAAGGCCUUCUAAAUGCUUGGACAGAUUUCCUAAAUGCCACUCACUGACUGUUGCAACAUUAUUUCCUCAUCACCACAAAUGUUGUGGCUUAGUCUGGGUUUGUCUCUCUGAUCCUCAACCAGUAUGACUGUGUAAUUCUCUAUUUAUUCUCAUAAAUAAAAAAGAUUUUUAAAAGCAACUUUUUAAUGUUGUAUGUUCAGAAACUAAAAUUAUUUUUUAUCCCCUCUGCUAUUUUCUGCUGUUCACUUCCCACCGGAUCAUUCCUUGUACAUGCUGCCUCACUCCGGUGGCAUGUUCCGUUUUCUAUUUAAGAGCUGUGAUGUCAUCGAGGCAUGGUCAAAGCAAAACUCUGUGGAACAAGCUCUGUCUGAGAUUCUGAGUAUUCUACCUUCAUUUGGUCAAAAUUUGCUGUCAAUUCCCAGAUAUUUCCUGUUUAUUCAGGGCUCCAGUUUUCUGUACCCUGUUGUUAAGAUAAUUUAUAGCUUGACUUUCCAUCUCUAAGUAGACCAAAAACUCCUGUAGCACAGAAACAAGCUUGUCUGAAACAUUUUGGUCAUUGGUAAGUGUUGUACCUAGAUCAGAACAUGCAUCUUGAUACAGAGCAAAUUGUUGUAGAGAAAUCUUUAGGCAAAAUCCAAAGUUUUAUUGCUAUCACUGACAUGGCUGGUGGUUUCUCCUGGCUGAAGGUUUCUCCCUCGACACUUUUUAUGACUUCUUUUUGUGAUUUCCACUAAAAUUAAUGCUCUCUAGUUUAAUAGCUUCCAGUACAUGGCUUGUAUGAUGAUUUUAGGUUUGUCAGGGAUUCCUGCUCAAGCUACUAAUACUCAUAUUACAAUGUUAAUAUUAUAUCAGAUAUCAGCUGUAUGUGUCUUUAUUUUAAAUUAAUAAGAUUUGAUGCUAACACCUUUUUAUGGAGACUGUUAAUGCCAUUGUCUUAAUUUGGAUUACAGAUUGUGACUAUGUUAAGUCUAGGGAACCUAAGGGCCUGUUUAAAAACUCUUUUGGAGUUCCUGAUCUGGUUUGGCAGCCAAAGCCACAUCCUGACUGCAGAGCAGGGCAAGGGUCACUGAUACAACCGCAUUUGCCCAUAGUUUCUUCUGCAUGACAAGAAACUCUAGGAAUGUGUUCCAGGCAGGAGCUGUGGCACACAGGACAGAUGGGAAACCAAGCUGGAGGAAUGAGUGUGAAAAGUCCAAGCCGAGUGCACAGGUACAGCCUUGGCUCUCAGUUGCCCUUUCUGAACUUCUAGGAUUUCACAUAAUUGAAAUAAAAAGCAGAUAUUUGUAAACU